UUGCCCCGUGGAUUUAAUUUAACGGCCGCGGUAUCUUAACCGUGCAAAGGUAGCAUAAUCAUUUGUUCUUUAAAUUAGGACUAGUAUGAACGGCACCACGAGGGUUUAACUGUCUCCCUUUUUUAAUCAAUGAAAUUAAUCUUCCCGUGAAGAAGCGGGAAUAUUAUUAUAAGACGAGAAGACCCCAUGGAGCUUUAAACUUAUUACCACUUAUUUUGUGAUAUAACAUAAUACUUAAUAAAAGUGUUCUUCAAUAGUUUUUGGUUGGGGCGACCCUGGAGAAAAAUUAAUCCUCCAGACUGAAAGGAACAUAAACCUUAUAUAAGAACCACAAUUCAAAUAAACAAAAAUUUGACAAAACUGACCCAGAAUAAACUGAUCAGUGAACCAAGUUACCCUGGGGAUAACAGCGCAAUCCAUUUUGAGAGCCCAUAUCGACAAAUGGGUUUACGACCUCGAUGUUGGAUCAGGGAAUCCCAGCAGCGCAGCCGUUGCUAAUGGUUCGUUUGUUCAACGAUUAAUACCCUACGUGAUCUGAGUUCAGACCGGA
rnacentral:rRNA from 1 species